rnacentral:rRNA from 2 species
UUUUCGCAAUGGGCGAAAGCCUGAUGGAGCAAUACCGCGUGAGGGAUGACGCAUCGUGGUGUGUAAACCUCUUUUCUUAAGGAAGAAUCAAUGACGGUACUUAAGGAAUAAGCACCGGCUAACUCUGUGCCAGCAGCCGCGGUAAUACAGAGGGUGCAAGCGUUGUCCGGAAUGAUUGGGCGUAAAGCAUCUGUAGGUGGUUUCUAAAGUCAACUGUUAAAUCCCAGAGCUUAACUUUGGUCAAGCAGUUGAGUACUUAGGGACUUGAGUACGGUAGGGGUAGAGGGAAUUCCUUGUUUAGCGGUGAAAUGCAUAGAGAUAAGGAAGAACACCAGCGGCGAAGGCGCUCUACUGGGCCGUAACUGACACUGAGAGAUGAAAGUUAGGGGAGCAAAAGGGAUAAGAUACCA